UUUAUUUACAUAACAGAUUAAAACGUCCUGUUUGUAAGUAACAUUUCUUAAACACACAUAAAACAGGGUAAAAAUCUACUAACAUACAAACUUACGUUUAUAUAUAAAGAACUGAAGCAUUAGAUCUGUAAAAAGAUACCAUACCGCUUUGCUUAUAAGAAAAAUCUACGCAAAUCCCGUUGAAACGCAAAAGCAAACAUACGGCAAAUUCUGACAUUUCACUAACAAAUAAAAAAGCCCAGCACAAUCAAGCAAAUUUUUAAUUUUGCAUGGUAACCUAAAAAUUUACGAUGACAACCAUCAUUUACGUUUCGAUUUUUCUCUUGAUAUGCUUACGCGCAUUGCAUGGUGCUAACAUUGAUCAUUUAAAAAAAUAUGGAUAUAAUUGUUACUACAAAAAUGAAAAUGAAGAAAUUCCUGUUGAAUGCGAUCCUGGGCAAGCUUGUUAUGCAAUCAUUUCAAUUCAGCACAGAAAUUCCACAUGGAAAAUAAACAAUAAUUCCUUGGGAUGUUGGGAUAUGCAAUCUCAUUGCACUAAAGACAUGUGUUCUGUAGAUCUUCCGAACUUUAUAUGGGUAAAUCAUAAUUUUCCAAGGUUUUGUUGUUGCACUGGAGACUUUUGCAAUAAAAAUAUUAAACUAACAUGAAAUUUAUCUGAAAUAAAAAUGAAUUCGUUUAUUAUAAAAUUUGUAUUUACAAAGAUUUAAUUAGUAAAAAAUGUUCAUGCUACGUAUUGUUAACUUAUGGCAUCUCAAAUGGUUUCAUUCUUUAAUAGAAUGUGCACAACUUACGCAAUAUAGUGAACAACUUACGCAAUAUAGUGACAACUUGUAGAAGGGUGUCGCUAACAAAGAAGAAUUUCAGUCGUUAUUAUUUUUUUAUGAGAUUGCUACAAUGUUUUUUUUAAUAUUAUAUUAUGCAAAUAAUAUUAUUAAUAAAGAA